rnacentral:rRNA from 1 species
ACGAACGCUGGCGGCGUGCUUAACACAUGCAAGUCGAACGCUGAAGACCUGGCUUUUGUUGGGUUGGAUGAGUGGCGAACGGGUGAGUAACACGUGAGUAACCUGCCCUCUUCUUUGGGAUAACGCCCGGAAACGGGUGCUAAUACUGGAUAUUCACUGAUCUUCGCAUGGGGGUUGGUGGAAAGGUUUGUUCUGGUGGGGGAUGGGCUCGCGGCCUAUCAGCUUGUUGGUGGGGUGAUGGCCUACCAAGGCUUUGACGGGUAGCCGGCCUGAGAGGGUGACCGGUCACAUUGGGACUGAGAUACGGCCCAGACUCCUACGGGAGGCAGCAGUGGGGAAUAUAGCACAAUGGGCGAAAGCCUGAUGCAGCGACGCCGCGUGAGGGAUGGAGGCCUUCGGGUUGUAAACCUCUUUCGCUCAUGGUCAAGCCGCAACUGUGGGUUGUGGUGAGGGUAGUGGGUAAAGAAGCGCCGGCUAACUACGUG